rnacentral:rRNA from 1 species
CGUACACUCCUGCGGGAGGCAGCAGUGGGGAAUAUUGGACAAUGGGCGCAAGCCUGAUCCAGCCAUGCCGCGUGAGUGAUGAAGGCCCUAGGGUUGUAAAGCUCUUUCACCGGUGAAGAUAAUGACGGUAACCGGAGAAGAAGCCCCGGCUAACUUCGUGCCAGCAGCCGCGGUAAUACGAAGGGGGCUAGCGUUGUUCGGAUUUACUGGGCGUAAAGCGCACGUAGGCGGACUAUUAAGUCAGGGGUGAAAUCCCGGGGCUUAACCCCGGAACUGCCUUUGAUACUGGUAGUCUUGAGUUCGAGAGAGGUGAGUGGAAUUCCGAGUGUAGAGGUGAAAUUCGUAGAUAUUCGGAGGAACACCAGUGGCGAAGGCGGCUCACUGGCUCGAUACUGACGCUGAGGUGCGAAAGCGUGGGGAGCAAACAGGAUUAGAUACCCCGGUAGUCCCAUGA